rnacentral:rRNA from 1 species
CCUACGGGAGGCAGCAGUGGGGAAUCUUGCGCAAUGGGCGGAAGCCUGACGCAGCAACGCCGCGUGUGGGAAGACGGCUUUCGGGUUGUAAACCACUUUCAGGGGGGACGAAGCUUCCGAGGUUAAUAGCCUACGGGGUGACGGUACCCCCAGAAGAAGCCCCGGCUAACUACGUGCCAGCAGCCGCGGUAAUACGUAGGGGGCGAGCGUUGUCCGGAAUCAUUGGGCGUAAAGCGCGUGUAGGCGGCUUGAUAAGUCUGGUGUGAAAUCUUGGGGCUUAACCCCAAGCCUGCACUGGAUACUGUCAAGCUUGAGUCCGGGAGGGGAGAGCGGAAUUCCUAGUGUAGCGGUGAAAUGCGCAGAUAUUAGGAAGAACACCGGUGGCGAAGGCGGCUCUCUGGAACGGUACUGACGCUGAGACGCGAAAGCGUGGGGAGCGAACAGGAUUAGAUACCCUGGUAGUCCACGCCGUAAACGAUGGGCACUAGAUGUGGGCGGUGUCGACUCCGUCCGUGUCGAAGCUAACGCAUAGUGCCGCCGUGGNGUACGCCGCGAGACGAAACGACAAUAAGUAGUAGUUACGGCGUGAGACGUGCCGACGGCGACGACGAGGGAGGAGG